rnacentral:rRNA from 1 species
UACGUAGGGUGCAAGCGUUAAUCGGAAUUACUGGGCGUAAAGCGUGCGCAGGCGGCUUUGCAAGACAGAUGUGAAAUCCCCGGGCUUAACCUGGGAACUGCAUUUGUGACUGCAUGGCUGGAGUGCGGCAGAGGGGGAUGGAAUUCCGCGUGUAGCAGUGAAAUGCGUAGAUAUGCGGAGGAACACCGAUGGCGAAGGCAGUCCCCUGGGCCUGUACUGACGCUCAUGCACGAAAGCGUGGGGAGCAAACAGG